rnacentral:rRNA from 1 species
UACGGGGGGGGCAAGCGUUGUUCGGAAUUACUGGGCGUAAAGGGCUCGUAGGCGGCCAACUAAGUCGGACGUGAAAUCCCCAGGCUCAACCUGGGAACUGCGUCCGAUACUGGAUGGCUUGAAUCCGGGAGAGGGAUGCGGAAUUCCAGGUGUAGCGGUGAAAUGCGUAGAUAUCUGGAGGAACACCGGUGGCGAAGGCGGCAUCCUGGACCGGUAUUGACACUGAGGAGCGAAAGCCAGGGGAGCAAACGGG